UGCCAGCAGCCGCGGUAAUACUGAAGGUGCAAGCGUUAAUCGGAAUCACUGGGCGUAAAGAGCUCGUAGGCGGUUUGUCACGUCGUCUGUGAAAUCCUAGGGCUUAACCCUGGACGUGCAGGCGAUACGGGCUGACUUGAGUACUACAGGGGAGACUGGAAUUUCUGGUGUAGCGGUGGAAUGCACAGAUAUCAGGAAGAACACCGAUGGCGAAGGCAGGUCUCUGGGUAGUAACUGACGCUGAGGAGCGAAAGCAUGGGUAGCGAACAGGAUUAGAUA
rnacentral:rRNA from 1 species